rnacentral:lncRNA from 1 species
UGCUACCUAUCUCACUCCCUUCCUCCCUUUCUCCUUCCUUCUUUCCUUCCUUCCUUUGUUCCUUGGUUCAUUACAUUACAGCUUUUGUUUUCCAACUCCUCUUCUUACAAACUCAAAAGAAUCUAUGUGUCAGUCAUCAAAACUGUUCUUUGGUUGGUUUCUGAAAUGUGAUUUUAUCAAGAGGCUAUUCAUUAAAUAAUAAAAUAUUUUAUUUACCCCUUUUGAGAUGGGAACCUGUCAUCAUUUUUGUACCCAUGUUUAUUCAGCUAUUUAAAAAAUUAUCUACUAGACAGGUGGUGAUGGUUGUACCCCUUUAAUCCCAGCACUCAGAAAGCACAGGCAGGCAGAUUUCUAAAUUUCAAGGCCAAGCCUGGUCUACACAUCUGGUUCAAGGACAGCCAGGGAUACACACACAAAAAAAACCCUGUCUCCAAAAGAAAAAAGAAAAAAAUGAUUUACUUUAAAAUUUUUAUGUGGAAAAAAAAACCAAAAAUUUUAUGUGAAUAUGUUGUGUACUUAAUAUGAAUUUAUAUGCACCAAGUAUGUGCAAUAUCCUGUGGCACCAGGAAAGGACAUUGAAUCUUGAAGAACUGGAAUUACAGGUGGUUGUUUGUAAGCCACCAUGUGGGUACUGGGGACUGAACCUAUGUCCUCUGCCAGAGUAAAUGGUGCUCUUAACUGCUGAGACAUCUCUGUAGCCCCAUAUCUAGUUUUUGUCUCAACAUUUUUUUCAAAAGUUUGGGAGUGGUUGUAGGGGGGCUAUGAGGGAUUCGUUGGGGGUCAGGUAGGGGGGAGUUUGUUGAACUGUCUCAGUACUGUGGUUGGAAAUUUGUUGACCAAAAAUGAGGAUGUUAGCACACUGUAAGUUUUAAAAGAGUUUUAAAAUGCUAAAACUGUUUAAAUGUCUUGAAAGAGGGGAUUGUUUGACUGUUCAAGGUCCCCUACCCCAUGUGUAUUUUAUUACCAUAUCUCUCUUAAUCAGUAAUAACUUUCUUAAGAAUCCAGCUUGAGCCGGGUGUGGUGGCGCACGCCUUUAAUCCCAGCACUCGGGAGGCAGAGGCAGGCGGAUUUCUGAGUUUGAGGCCAGCCUGGUCUACAAAGUGAGUGCCAGGACAGCCAGGGCUACACAGAGAAACCCUGUCUCGAAAAACCAAAAAAACAAAACAAAACAAACAAACAAAAAAGAAACCC